AUUGAACGAUGGCGGCAGGCCUAACACAUGCAAGUCGAGCGAGCGGCGGACGGGUGAGUAAUGUCUGGGGAACUGACUGAUGGAGGGGGAUAACUACUGGAAACGGUAGCUCAUACCGCAUACCCUCAGAUGUGCCCAGAUGGGAUUAGCUAGUAGGUUGGGUAACGGCUCACCUAGGCGACGCUCCCUAGAUGGCGUGCGAGGAUGACCAGCCAGACUGGAAUAGAGACACGGUCCAGACUCCUACGGGAGGCAGAAGUGGGGAAUAUUGCACAAUGGGUGCAAGCCUGAUGAAGCCAUGCAGCGUGUAUGAAGAAGGCCUUCGGGUUGGAAAGUACUUUCAGCGCGGAGGCGUUACGCGCAGAAGAAGCACCGGCUAACUCCGUGCCAGCAGCCGCGGUAAUAC
rnacentral:rRNA from 1 species